rnacentral:rRNA from 1 species
UUGUGGAGCGAUUUGUCUGGUCAAUUCCGAUAACGAACGAGACUAGCCCACUAAAUAGUUCGGGGACCCCCACAAAGGGGCCCCGCUUCAACUUCAACUUCUUAGAGGGACAGGUGGCGUUUAGCCACACGAGAUUGAGCAAUAACA